rnacentral:antisense_RNA from 1 species
CUGAGGCUUGCUAAGGUUGGACCGUAUAUUAUGGAGCACCUUUUGCAAGGAUGAAAUACUCAGUCUGGAUGGAUGGGAAUAAUUCAGCUGGGGAUUUGGAGGCCCUAAAGGGCAGUGUAGCCAAUGGACAGGUGAUCCCAGGUACCUGCAUGAGUGGAGGCAGGCCCUUCCUGCAGACCUGCACUGAACUAUAACAUGGGCAUAGAGGGCUGGCCUGAGUGAUCAAUAGAAUACUGUAGAGGCAACAACAUGUGGCUUCUGAGGAAGCAUUGUAGCCUCUUGGUUUGUUCAUGCUGUGGAAGCCAGCUGCCAUGUCAAGAGGAUGCUCAAGCAGCCCUGUGGAAAGGCCCGUAUGACACAGCAAGAGAGUGGCCAACUGCAAGCCAGGAAGAAACCUUCACCAGAUCCCAACCAUGCUAGUACCCCGAUCCAGACAUUCAGCCUUCAGAACUGUAAAAAGUAGAAUAAAAUUCUGUUGUUUAAGCCA